AAGCCGUGAAGCGAGCCGCCUGGGAAGUACGUCCGCAAGGAUGAAACUUAAAGGAAUUGGCCGGGGGAGCACUACAACCGGAGGAGCCUGCGGUUUAAUUGGACUCAACGCCGGACAUCUCACCGGCACCGACUGUAGUAAUGACGGUCAGGUUGAUGACCUUGCCACGAGUUACAGAGAGGAGGUGCAUGGCCGCCGUCAGCUCGUACCGUGAGGCGUCCUGUUAAGUCAGGCAACGAGCGAGACCCGUGUCCCUAAUUGCCAGCAACACCGAGAGGUGGUUGGGUACAUUAAGGAGACUGCCGCUGCUAAAGCGGAGGAAGGAACGGGCAACGGUAGGUCAGUAUGCCCCGAAUGUGCCGGGCUACACGCGGGCUACAAUGGCCGGGACAGUGGGAUGCAACACCGAGAGGUGGAGCUAAUCUCCGAAACCCGGUCGUAGUUCGGAUUGCGGGUUGAAACUCACCCGCAUGAAGCUGGAUUCGGUAGUAAUCGCGUCUCA
rnacentral:rRNA from 1 species